rnacentral:rRNA from 1 species
GACGAACGCUGGCGGCGUGCCUAAUACAUGCAAGUUGAGCGCUGAAGGUUGGUACUUGUACCAACUGGAUGAGCAGCGAACGGGUGAGUAACGCGUGGGGAAUCUGCCUUUGAGCGGGGGACAACAUUUGGAAACGAAUGCUAAUACCGCAUAAAAACUUUAAACACAAGUUUUAAGUUUGAAAGAUGCAAUUGCAUCACUCAAAGAUGAUCCCGCGUUGUAUUAGCUAGUUGGUGAGGUAAAGGCUCACCAAGGCGAGGAUACAUAGCCGACCUGAGAGGGUGAGCGGCCACAUUGGGACUGAGACACGGCCCAAACUCCUACGGGAGGCAGCAGUAGGGAAUCUUCGGCAAUGGACGAAAGUCUGACCGAGCAACGCCGCGUGAGUGAAGAAGGUUUUCGGAUCGUAAAACUCGGUUGGUAGAGAAGAACGUUGGUGAGAGUGGAAAGCUCAUCAAGUGACGGUAACUACCCAGAAAGGGACGGCUAACUACGUG